UACAGAGGUCUCAAGCGUUGUUCGGAUUCAUUGGGCGUAAAGGGUGCGUAGGCGGCGCGGUAAGUCGGGUGUGAAAUCUCGGAGCUUAACUCCGAAACUGCAUUCGAUACUGCCGUGCUUGAGGACUGGAGAGGAGACUGGAAUUUACGGUGUAGCAGUGAAAUGCGUAGAGAUCGUAAGGAAGACCAGUGGCGAAGGCGAGUUUCUGGACAGUUACUGACGCUGAGGCACGAAAGCGUGGGGAGCGAACAGG
rnacentral:rRNA from 1 species